rnacentral:lncRNA from 1 species
ACGUAAGGUUAGAUCCAGUAAAAAUUACACAAUAGUUUCCGGUGUAGAAACUAUCGUGAGAAAAUAAAUUGUAUGCUUCAAAAAAUUAAACUAGAAAAAAGAAAAGAAAUAAAUUGCUUGAAAAAUUAGAAUGCUGGAAAAAUUAUGCUGGAAAAAUAAUGCUGGAAAAAUUGUCCGGAGAAGAGAGAGCUUCAAUUGGCUUUUGUGAGGUUUAUUUAUAUUCACC